rnacentral:rRNA from 1 species
UACGUAGGUGGCAAGCGUUGUCCGGAUUUACUGGGUGUAAAGGGCGUGCAGCCGGGAAUGCAAGUCAGAUGUGAAAUCCCGCGGCUCAACCGCGGAACUGCAUUUGAAACUGUGUUUCUUGAGUACUGGGGAGGCAGACGGAAUUCCUAGUGUAGCGGUGAAAUCCGUAGAUAUCUGGAGGAACAUCAGUGGCGAAGGCGGCCACCUGGACCGGUAUUGACGCUGAGGCGCGAAAGCGUGGGGAGCAGACAGG